CCCUACGGGGGGCAGCAGUGGGGAAUAUUGCACAAUGGGCGCAAGCCUGAUGCAGCCAUGCCGCGUGUAUGAAGAAGGCCUUCGGGUUGUAAAGUACUUUCAGCGGGGAGGAAGGGAUUGUGGUUAAUAACCGCAGUCAUUGACGUUACCCGCAGAAGAAGCACCGGCUAACUCCGUGCCAGCAGCCGCGGUAAUACGGAGGGUGCAAGCGUUAAUCGGAAUUACUGGGCGUAAAGCGCACGCAGGCGGUCUGUCAAGUCGGAUGUGAAAUCCCCGGGCUCAACCUGGGAACUGCAUUCGAAACU
rnacentral:rRNA from 1 species